rnacentral:rRNA from 1 species
CAACGCCGCGUGGGAGGAUGAAGUCCCCUUGGGUGUAAACCUCCUUUCCGAAUCGGGAAGACUAAUGGUACGGUACCGAUAUAAGAAGCCCCGGCUAACUUCGUGC